GCUUGGAAAUUGAGGAGAAAAUCAACAAAGUUAGAUGGUGCCAGUCAGCUAAUGGUGCCUUGUUUCUUCUGUCGACUAAUGACAAAACCAUCAAGUUUUGGAAGGUCCAAGAGAAGAAGGUCAAGAAAGUAUGUGACAUGAAUGUUGACCCUGAAAAUGCUGCAGGAAAUGGUCCUAUUCUAGGUUCUAGCUUGCCAACAAGCUCCAACUCCAAACCAUAUACUGCAAAUGGAGGAUCUUUCGAUAGACCCUUUGGUUCUCCAAGCAAUGACUUUUCCUUCUCGCCUG
rnacentral:misc_RNA from 1 species